UCAGCUUUCAGCAGCCCUGGGCGAGUUCUUUAGAGAAAUGUGACUCUUUUUCAUGGUGCUCUUGUCUAUGUCCAGCUAACCAACGAGAUGAGGAAGGUCAUUUUCAUUUUCUAAACUGCGAACGGGCAGAAAGCUACACAACGAGAUGAGGAUGGUCAUUGUCAUUUUCUGAGCUGCCAACGGGCAGAAAGCUAACCAACGAGAUGAGGAUGGUCAUUGUCAUUUUCUGAGCUGCAAACGGGCAGAAAGCGACACAACGAGAUGAGGAUGGUCAUUGUCAUUUUCUGAGCUGCGAACGGGUAGAACGCGACACAACGAGAUGAGGAUGGUCAUUGUCAUUUUCUGAGCUGCGAACGGGCAGAAAG